rnacentral:rRNA from 1 species
AACGAACGCUGGCGGCAUGCCUAACACAUGCAAGUCGAACGAGACCUUCGGGUCUAGUGGCGCACGGGUGCGUAACGCGUGGGAACCUGCCCUUAGGUUCGGAAUAACUCCCCGAAAGGGGUGCUAAUACCGGAUAAUGUCUUCGGACCAAAGAUUUAUCGCCUUUGGAUGGGCCCGCGUUGGAUUAGCUAGUUGGUAGGGUAAAAGCCUACCAAGGCGACGAUCCAUAGCUGGUCUGAGAGGAUGAUCAGCCACACUGGGACUGAGACACGGCCCAGACUCCUACGGGAGGCAGCAGUGGGGAAUAUUGGACAAUGGGCGAAAGCCUGAUCCAGCAAUGCCGAGUGAGUGAUGAAGGCCUUAGGGUUGUAAAGCCCUUUUACCCGGGAUGAUGAUGACAGUACCGGGAGAAUAAGCUCCGGCUAACUCCGUG